rnacentral:rRNA from 1 species
CGCUGGCGGCGUGCUUAACACAUGCAAGUCGAGCGAAGCACCUUGACGGAUUUCUUCGGAUUGAAGCCUUGGUGACUGAGCGGCGGACGGGUGAGUAACGCGUGGGUAACCUGCCUCAUACAAGGGGAUAACAGUUGGAAACGGCUGCUAAUACCGCAUAAGCGCACAGUACCGCAUGGUACGGUGUGAAAAACUCCGGUGGUAUGAGAUGGACCCGCGUCUGAUUAGGUAGUUGGUGGGGUAACGGCCUACCAAGCCGACGAUCAGUAGCCGACCUGAGAGGGUGACCGGCCACAUUGGGACUGAGACACGGCCCAAACUCCUACGGGAGGCAGCAGUGGGGAAUAUUGCACAAUGGGGGAGACCCUGAUGCAGCGACGCCGCGUGAGCGAUGAAGUAUUUCGGUAUGUAAAGCUCUAUCAGCAGGGAAGAAAAUGACGGUACCUGACUAAGAAGCCCCGGCUAACUACGUGCCAGCAGCCGCGGUAAUACGUAGGGGGCAAGCGUUAUCCGGAUUUACUGGGUGUAAAGGGAGCGUAGACGGCAUGGCAAGCCAGAUGUGAAAGCCCGGGGCUCAACCCCGGGACUGCAUUUGGAACUGUCAGGCUAGAGUGUCGGAGAGGAAAGCGGAAUUCCUAGUGUAGCGGUGAAAUGCGUAGAUAUUAGGAGGAACACCAGUGGCGAAGGCGGCUUUCUGGACGGUGACUGACGUUGAGGCUCGAAAGCGUGGGGAGCAAACAGG